GGCGUAAAGCGAGCGCNGGCGGUUAGAUAAGUCUGAAGUUAAAGGCUGUGGCUUAACCAUAGUACGCUUUGGAAACUGUUUAACUUGAGUGCAGAAGGGGAGAGUGGAAUUCCAUGUGUAGCGGUGAAAUGCGUAGAUAUAUGGAGGAACACCGGUGGCGAAAGCGGCUNUCUGGUCUGUAACUGACGCUGAGGCUCGAAAGCGUGGGGAGCGAACAGGAUUAGAUACCCUGGUAGUNCACGCCGUAAACGAUGAGUGCUAGGUGUUAGGCCCUUUCCGGGGCUUAGUGCCGCAGCUAACGCAUUAAGCACUCCGCCUGGGGAGUACGACCGCAAGGUUGAAACUCAAAGGAAUUGACGGGGGCCCGCACAAGCGGUGGAGCAUGUGGUUUAAUUCGAAGCAACGCGAAGAACCUUACCAGGUCUUGACAUCCCGAUGCCCGCUCUAGAGAUAGAGUUUUACUUCGGUACAUCGGUGACAGGUGGUGCAUGGUUGUCGUCAGCUCGUGUCGUGAGAUGUUGGGUUAAGUCCCGCAACGAGCGCAACCCUUAUUGUUAGUUGCCAUCAUUCAGUUGGGCACUCUAGCGAGACUGCCGGUAAUAAACCGGAGGAAGGUGGGGAUGACGUCAAAUCAUCAUGCCCCUUAUGACCUGGGCUACACACGUGCUACAAUGGCUGGUACAACGAGUCGCAAGUCGGUGACGGCAAGCUAAUCUCUUAAAGCCAGUCUCAGUUCGGAUUGUAGGCUGCAACUCGCCUACAUGAAGUCGGAAUCGCUAGUAAUCGCGGAUCAGCACGCCGCGGUGAAUACGUUCCCGGGCCUUGUACACACCGCCCGUCACACCACGAGAGUUUGUAACACCCGAAGUCGGUGAGGUANCCUUUUAGGA
rnacentral:rRNA from 1 species